UACGGAGGGUGCAAGCGUUGUUCGGAAUUAUUGGGCGUAAAGGGCAGGUAGGUGGUCCCAAAAGGCUACUGUGAAAUCCCCGGGCUUAACCUGGGAACCGCAUUUGUGACUGCAUAGCUGGAGUACGGCAGAGGGGGAUGGAAUUCCGCGUGUAGCAGUGAAAUGCGUAGAUAUGCGGAGGAACACCGAUGGCGAAGGCAGUCCCCUGGGCCUGUACUGACGCUAAUGCACGAAAGCGUGGGGAGCAAACAGG
rnacentral:rRNA from 1 species